CAAUCGUCCUCCCAUCACUGAAGGCAUGGAUGGAAGAAACAGGAUACAGCAAACUUUGGGUAGCUAAAUAUAGGUUCCCCAUGGUCUUCAUCUUGGAAACACUGGUGAGCAUUCUGGAGAGAGCAGCAGUAAUCAUACUUAAUCAGGAUUAGAAGAGGCUGGAUUGCUCACAUUGUUAGCAGGAAAGAAGAAAGAAACCACCCCUUCCAUUUUUUUACCUCAACACUUUUGGCCAGAAACGUAUGAAAACACAG